rnacentral:rRNA from 1 species
GAAAAAACUCACUUCAUUUUGACUCAUUUCUGUAAAGACAAUAUGUUGAAGCUGAGCAGGGCUGAGCCUGGUCAGUAACCAGAUGGGGGACCACAUGGGAAAACUAGGUAGCUGUUGGCA